UUUGUUUGUUUUCUUGCUUCCAGAAGAUACUUCAUAUUCAGUUUGGAUUUCCCAGCCCCAGGCCUAAAAUCAGUAUAGUAAUUCUAUAGCGAGUGUGUCGUUUGUGAAGAUAUGCUGUCAUUUAUUGAAACAGGACCUCUAGUCAACAGCCAGUCCAGGAGGAGCUGAUGCAAAUCACAAGGACUCACUGAAUUCUGUCAGUGGCUAUGGGAGUGGACUGGAGGUAGGUUAUCUCCUGAGAUGGGCCUUUAAACGACUGGAGCCCAGUCAGUGGUGGGACCCCAAAUAUUUAGACCCUGAGCCAGAAUCAUGCUUGAGAAAAGCUGGAGUGAGGCUGGUCUUACGAUGAUAGGACUCUCCAGAUAUGUCUCUGUCUAAGUCUCCAAAGAGAGGGUUGUGGCUCUCUUAGCCUAGCAUAGCCUUCCCAGCACAGCCUCUUUACCCACACGCUAGUCAACUCCAGGACGUAAAUGGUCAGCGGGCUAUGUUUUCUCUGACAUCUAGAAUAAGCAUCUUGUGCCCCAGCCUCUGCUUCCAUGCUCUGCUACCACACUGCAAGGCACGGCUUGCUCUCCUUGUGCAGCUACUGACGCUGAUGUUUCCUGUCAACAAGACUUGACUUCUCAAGGCCUGGAGUCUCAAUCAGUCACAAUUAGAGUUUGCAUAUAUAUAUAUGCAAGUAACCCUAAAAUAUCUGCAAAGUCAAUCCCUAAUAAUAAGCUGUAAAUUAUGGGUUUAUGAUCUACCAGCAGCCCUGACUCUCACCACACACAGCAUCAGCCAUUAUAAGCCCUAUUAGCACCACUCAAGAAUUCGUGAAUGAAUGUUCCCCUCUUUAAUAAGGAUUUAAUUUUCUGGACUCCCGACGAGCUUUCUCUCCCAUUUAAGAAUCUCCGAGUCAGUGCAAAAGCAAAUGAGGAAUUACUCCUGACCAAAAGUCAAGGGUCUCUAGCUUAAUUCUGUUGUUUUCACACGCCAAGUAUUCCUUCUGGCGAUAUUUUUACCCAGCACACCAGGAAGACUCUGCCAUUCACACCCACACAAGUUCUACACUGAGGGUUAGGGUGAGGGACUCACAGGGAGGAACAUGAACAGGUUCAUGCCAAUUGACAUGCACUUGUGUGUCUGGAGUUUGUAAGCCCCUCUUCAUCUCAGCAAGGCCCCCUCCUGCAAUAGUAUCUGUGUUCUUCCAACUGCACUAAUUGAACACACACACACACACACACACACGCACGCACGCACGCACGCACGCACGCACGCACGCACGCACGCACGCACGCACGCACGCGGAAGGUAAAUAAUCACAUUUUCCAUGGGCUUCCAAGGAGAAGUACACAUCAUCAGUAGUGAUUGCUGACUUCCCGUGUGAUCUCAACAGGACGAACCUAAACCCCGCUGUUCUGAAGCAUCGUGUGUGAGGGCAGGUAAACAAGCUGUUCACUCUCCUUAAACUAUAAGAUUCCAGCAGAGUAGGAGGAGACAAGAAGUUCAGAAGAACUUUUUACUCUGAGCCCUUUCUUUUUUUUUUUAAAGAUUUUAUUUAUUCAUCUUAUAUAUGACAAGUACACUGUCACUGUCUUCAGACACACCAGAAGAGGGCAUCGGAUCUCGUUACAGAUGGUUGUGAGCCACCAUGUGGUUGCUGGGAUUUGAACUCAUGACCUCUGGAAGAGCAGUCAGUGCUCUUAACCGCUGAGCCAUCUCUCCAGCCCCUCUGAGCCCUUUCUAAAAAAUACUUUAUUUAUUAUUAUAUUUAACAAUUUUUAUGUACACUGGUGUUUUGCCUGCUUGUAUGUCUCUGUGAGGGUGUCGGAUUCUCUGGAAACGGAGAUUCAGACAGUUGUGAACUGCCAUGUGGAUGCUGGGAAUUGAACUCAGAACCUCUGGAAGAGCAGCCAGUGCUCUUAACCUCUGAGCCAUCUCUCCAGCCCCCAUUCUGGGUCUUAAUAGAAAUGCUAAGUCGUUUGUGUCACUCCUAGCAGGGUCACUUCUUCUUGGGCAUGAUAGAUGUAGCGUGAGGUACAAGGGGACAGCUCAGUUGGUAAAGUGCUUGCCACUCAAGCACGAGGACCAUGAGUUUGAUUUCUACCAGUCAGUAAAACCUGGGCGCAGUGAUACACACAAUUAGUGUCAGAGCUAAGGAAGCAGAGAUUCCCAGUAGCUCACUGGCCAGCUAGCCUAGCCUAAUGGGGGAGCUCCAGGUCUCAGACUCAAAAACACAGGGUGGAGGUUGUAAUGGUGGCUCAGUAGUAAAAGUGCCUUUUGCCAAGUCUGAGGACUGGAUUAGAUCCUUGGGACCCAAUGGUACAGGGAGAGAAGCAAGUACUCCAAACUGUACUCUGACCUCCACUCCCAAAAGAAAAGAUUUUAAAAAUUGUAAACAAAACAAAACAAAUAAAAAAAACACUAAAAAACAGAAAACCAAGGUGGAUGGCGCUUGAGACCGGCCUGUGGUCUCCCUGACACCCAUGGGUGCAAGUGCACCCAGACACAUAAACCUGCACACACACACACACACACACACACACACACACACACACACACACACACCCCACCCUGCGACAUUGUAUGAAUAGCCCUUCAACACAUUCAACACUGCAGGCUGGAAUAACUGCAGGCUAACCUCGGGAAGCCCGUUACUUCCCACUCCUCAAUAAUUACUUUUCAUCAACAAAGACGGGAAGGGAGGAGUCGAUGAAAGAAUGCUGGGGUUUCCUAGGAAAGGACUGGCCACAGUUGGCCUGAGGGUUUCCUGCUGGGGCCUGUGGAUGAUGGCACUGCUUGCUGAAGGUGAGAAUCCUCUCUGCUUGGAGAAGCUAUAGAAAAGAUCAAGGCUUUGUUGCCUUAACUUACCCUAAAUCCAUGGGGUUUGUUAGAAUCAAGAAUCAAGUAAAUGCCAAACGAACAGAAUAUUGAUCCUGAGCCUCCGCGGAGCUUGGAAAACAUAUAUUUUAGAUUUAGAAAAUUCUGGUCACUUAUGAAUGAAGGGGAGACAGAGCUGGGGAGCUCACGGGGAAGGCAGUGCUUGCUAUGCAAGAGGGCUGGGAUGCACAAGGAGAAGAGUCAACCUGGAGCCUUGUCCCUUGGGAACUUCUGCAGUGCUGAUAGGAUAAACCAAGAGUAGAAACGUCCAAAAUAUUGAGCCAGUUUCCAGGGAAACUUCCCUAAAGGUCAGAACCAGAGCAGGGGAAAGCACACAAAACAAACACCCUCCAAGGAUGAAAACCUCCAACAAGGCAAGGUCAGGAGAGGGCAGGUGAGUGGACUGCACUUGCGCUUGUAUCUGGAGGGAGAAAACUGCUUGCUUCUCUGCCCCCAGCACCUCGGUUUUGCUGCCUCCAACCCAGCAAUACAGAGAUGAUGAAGAUCUGACCCACUUUCGACAUUGGGUUUAUGAUGUGGAGUCUCACAGGGCGCACUGUACAGACCCUCUGAUUUCCCUGACAGGCUAGCUCCCUGCAAACCACUUCUGUCUCACUUCAGUAAGUUUGCUCAUCAAUACAUUCAGCUACCAAAUUGCUUUAAUUACAGAACAAGGAAAUUGCUUCACUUGGCGAAAGGUUCUUCCUCGUUCUGCUAAUGGCUCUCUGGUAGCGUGCCUAUGAUGAGAGUUUUUUUUUUUUUCUUUCGAGACUGAAAACCAUUGAGCUUACUGAGAAGGAGAGAAGGGCUGUGCAGACAGCACAGUGCGGUGGUGAACUGCAAUUGCCUUCAGAUCUCACACACUGUUCUAGACGAUGGCCAGUGACCGCAAAGAAAGGGGGUCCAGGUAGAGCAGCUUCCUGUGGGAAAAUCCUCAGAAAUGGGAACCUUAAGACACAAUCCACAUUGCUCUCAGUCUUUCCUAUGAGGAUUCUAGAAAGUUCUUUGUACCUAUCCAGAUACCACCUCCUAUAUAACCAGGGUGCAUUUAUUGAGAUUUCUAACUCAAAUUCUGGUUCGUAGAGCAUGGAGCAAGACUGAAGACAGCCUCUGAUGGGAUGUUUUCCUACCUGGGGCACGUAGCCUAUAUUCCUGAAGAGGGGGUGCAGAUGAUGCCCUGACGCCCAGCCUGGAGUGUGGAUCUUGGCUUUGCCAUUCACUCGUUUUGCCACCCUGGAGAGUUACUUCAAACCCUUGGAGUAUUUGUUAAGAACAGCACGUGACUGGGAAACAGUGGAAGGGCUCAAUAGAUACCGUGUGGUUCAGUAGCUAUAGGUGCCAGCAUGUGCUCACCACCCCCUCUCCUGUUCGUCUUCACGACUCCUCCUCAGGGCCUGAGUUGCUGGCUGGGAACUUCUGACAUGCCUGUCUGUAGUAGAAACACAGCUCUUGGAAAGAAGGGAGUUAUAAACGCCAUCUUUCAUCUACAGUGGGGACUGAAAUGGGUCCCUUCUUUUUCUUUGCUUGGGAAAAAAAAAAGAGAGUGAAUGGCCGAGUGCUCUUAGUGCUAAGACGACCUGGGCCCAUGUCUCCACCUGCCACUGAGUGGAUGAGUAACUGAGCAGCCUUGCACGGAGGAUGGUCCAGCAGCACCUCAGUGGUGAGCAUGCGCUUUACCACAGGAGGCGCUGUGAUUACACUAUGGCUGCAUGUCCUUCUCCGCACCUACGAAUGCCCUUGACGCAUGUCCACCAAAGGAGAGGACUUUAAUGGCAGUGUGAACUGAAAUCAAGUGGUAUCCACAGAAAGGCUGAGCUGAUCGUCGUACCAUAAAAAUCCUCCAUAUUAUUGUUCAGGCAACACUCUGGACAGUCAUGAAUGCCAUUAAAAUGGCUCGAAGAGACAGAAACCCAUAUAAUGAAUACGAAAAGAAGGACGGCAAUGCAUCUUUGUAUUUUGGGGGGAUAUUUGUUUGGGCAGACUUUGCUAACAGUUUGAAGAGACUACAACACAACACUGCUAGCUAAAAGUUUAAUUACACACAAUUGCUUGCUGUGAGUUCCUUUCCCAAAUGGUCUCAUGCAUAUUCAUCACUGUAAUUACAGUAGUGAAAAAAACCUCACAACUAAUUAUUCCAUGUUCCCCAUCUUUCACAUGCCUAGAAUUUUGCAUAAUUACUGUUGAAAUUAAUUGCAAGUUAGUUGAUUUUAUACUUUGUCCUUUCAAAGCUUAAUUGAAAAUUAAUUUAAAAGACACAAAAAAUAACGGAGAGGAAUCGCCAACCACCUACCUUCAACCAUGUCAGAUCUGGCCUUACACAUAAGGAUGGGAUUUAAUGAUGGAGGGCUGAAUGGAGGGUUCCUCACAUCAGGCUGUAACAAAAAACCAGUCAUCUCAGGCCCACAUCUAUGGGACAGCAGUGAAGACAUGACGGUGGGGAGGCCUGCUGGUGGACAAGCGGUUUUCUGGUUGGGUACUUAUCAUGAGAUGACUAGGUAGGUCAGUCUAUUUCUUGCCUUGAAAGAAACCAUCUAAUUUCAGCACCCCAGUCUACUUUUACCUUCGAAUGUCUUUGCUUUCCAUUUUCAAGGCCUACCUGGCAUUCAAGAAACACACACACACACACUCUCUCUCUCUCAUAUAUAUGUGUGUGUGUGUGUGUGUGUGUGUGUGUACAUACAUAUAUAUAUAUAUAUAUAUAUAUAUAUAUUUUUCCCCUUUCCACCCUGGUAUUAGAGUUACAAAUAGUUCAAAUAGUUCUUUAUCGCAGUUCUGUUAUAGAACUCUGUUCCCACAAUUUCUUGAUCUGAGUAACUUUCAUCCAUCCAUAAGGGACCAGGAGGGACCCAUAUAGUGAGAGUAUUAUCUUUAAAAUUUUUUUAAAAUUUAAUUAAAACAACUUUUUAAAAAGAGCUAUAUUUUAUGAGCACAGGUGUGUCUGUGUGUAUGUGUGUGUGUAUGAAAGUGCACAUGCAUAUUGGAUUCUUCAGGAAGCCAGAAGCGGACACUGGAUCUCUGGUGCUGGAGUUAGAGUUGAGAGCUGCCACAUGGUUGCUGGGAACUAAAUCUGGGUCUUUCGCAAGAACAGCCAGUGCUCUUAGCUGCUGAGCCAUCUCUCCAGCCCCCCAGUGUCUCCUCUUCUAAGAACACUAAUCCUGCCAUGAGGGUCUUACUCGGAACACUUCAACUAAUCUCCAUGAUGCUAAAGGGCCCAUGUCAAACAGCACCACCUAGGGAGGAGGAGGGCUACACCAUGUGAUGUUCUGGAGAGGCUACAAAUCUGAAGUCCCUAGUAAAGUUCAAACAGGCCUCUUCUUCAAAAUAGGACAAAGUCCCAAUGCCACUGUUCUCAGUUCUUUGAGUGUUUCAGGUGUCUAUCUUCCUGGACCUGGGCCUUUUGGCACGGCAUGUAUCGGUAUCCAGGGCGCAGUACCAUUCCAUACCCACUUUUAAGCUAGGCAUGAAUUUAAUUUAAUAUGAUUUCCCCAACUAACACGGUGUCUGUCCCGUGAUACCCAAGAGAUGGACCCACAGCUCUUUCUUCACUGAUUGAGAGGGAGACACCAGUGGGAAACCUUUGGAGUGAGCGUCAUUGCCCCACUUUGACAGAGAAAAACAGGCAAGUUGGGAGAGAGCAAGAAAAUCUUUCACAGCCACAGUUAGUGGCUAGGUUGGCAUGUGGUGCCACCAAACGUUCUCUUCCCAUGACACCGUGAUCCCUCUGCAUCAUCCUGCCACACUUCCAUCUGGACAGUUCAUAUGUCACCUCCUGCCAGCCACAGUCUUUUGGUGGCAUGCUCUUCUUAAUCCUUAGUCCCAGGCUGCCUGGUAUGGCCUUAGUGUCUGAGUCAUCUCAUCCCCGGAUUCAUAUGCCGAGGCUCUAACGCUAGUGUAACAGGGUUACUGGACUCUCAAGGUGGGGUUAGCAUUCCUAUAAGAGACACAAAAGAGCUCCUUCUCUCUACCCAGUGAGGACGCAGAGAGAGGAUGGCGGUCUACAAACCAUCCAGAUCUUCACCACAGACCAAAUUGGCAGACUCCUUGAUCUUAGACUUCACCUUUUAGAUCUCUGAGAAGUGAACUUCUGAUGUUCAAGCCACUCGGCCUGUGCUACUUGGUAAAGCCUUGGGUACAGACCAAGGUGGCCCUUCUGCAAUUUAGGUAAAUAACCUUGAUUACUAUCUCACGCAUCUUGGACGGACUCAGGGUGAAAACCAAGAGGAAAACAAGUCAAUGGAGAAGACACCCCACAGCAUACAGGCAGCCAGGGAGCUACAGUGAAAAGACUGAGGCGAGGUAUACACCCAGCUUGUGCCAGGAAAUGGCUAGAGUGAGCCAGCGUGUGGCCAUAGAGUAGGAACCAAAGCACCCACCAGCCCUAAAAGGAUGCUAAUGGGGCCCUCACUGAGAGCACUGAGGCGCUGUCAAUCAGAGCACACACGGCAUAAGAAUGAAUCUGCCAGUUACUGAGUCACUGAGAGCAAACUGCAAAGCAAUUCACACAGCACAAUCAUUGAUUUUUUUUCUUUCCUGUUUUGAGUCCAUAAAAAUAACUCCUUUAAAGGUGACUUUAGUGAUCCCAGCCUUCAGCAAUAUGAGGACAGACAAGUCAUCUUCCAAGAAGCCCUUGAAAUGUAGGGGUCUUUAUGAUCUCUGGAGCAGAGCCUUUAACAGCUCCUUCUGUGUUUAGGUAACCGAAACAUGAGAGGUAUUUUAAGAAGUGAGGCGAAGUGUCCAUGCAUUCAAUUUCCCUUGUAUUAUAAACACAGGCUUCCAUUCCGAUAAGCACCAUAAAUGUGUAUCACAAACCCAAAUUAGGGGUUCAGACACAGUCACAGAGCUUCUGAGGACGACUGUGCAAGAUGAGAGCACACUGCUGGGAGCCUGGAGGCUGGAAAGCAGCCCUGCAGCCCUGCAGCCCUGUCAUGAGCCACAUGGCAAAGCUGCCAGGUGGGAGCCCCAGAGGCCGUCUUUGUGGGCAGAUCCACCUUGACUCAUCAAGGGCAGGAGUGAAGGGCAGACCAGCACCUGAGACCCAGGAGCUAGGAGGCUUAUGUUGCUCUCAGCUCUUAAGUCGGUCUUGACUUUAGAUAUAGGAAAAUGCCAGCAGUGUACCGGCUGGUGAAAGGACUCGCAGUUGUUGUUGUUGUUGUUGUUGUUUUUUAAAGACAUGGUUUCUCUGUGCAGCGCUAGCUGUCCUGGAACUAGAUCUGUAGACCAGGCUGGCCUCAAACUCACAGACAUCUGCCUGCCUCUGCCUCCUGAGUACUGGGAUUAAAGGUGUGUGUCACCACCACUGAGCUUGGAAUAUAUAUUUUGUGAGAGCGGAAUGCCAUUUUUGGUGAUAAUAAAAAUACGUGUGAAUGUAUGAAUGGACAUUUCUUUUAAAUACACACACACACACACAUACACACUCACACACACACACACAGUUGAAAGGUCUCACACUAAAAUGAUAAUGUUAGUGGUCACAGGAUGGUUAAACCAGAGGCACUUUCUGUAAUCAUUAUUUUAUAAUGAACUGAUGCCUCUCCUUCCAGUGAUCCCCAGUCUAUCAAGUGCUCCACUGGAAGCUUUGCUAACAUUCCUGAUGAGGAAAUUUCCCUUUAUUUGUCUUCACUGAGAGCUGGUUCUCUUUCCUCAGAGAGCACUUUCAUCUCACUCCAGUCUUCUAUCUAGCGUCUCCUUCUUACAGGACAGGGGCCAUGGUGGGUAUGAUUUCAUUCUGGGCAACAACUUUAUUUUGUAGAAAUAAUGACAAUGACAGCAAUGGCCCCAACCAUAGCAGCAGUAGCACAGACAGCAGUAUGGGUAGCUAGCGUAUUUGAAAAGCUCCAGAUGCUAAGGAGUCCAGAUGCAGUAAGAAGGCCGUGAUCUCCAUGUCUCUGACAGGGAAAUUCUCUCACACAAAGGCUGUACCUUCAGAACAAUACCCACGCACUCUAGGCACACAAAGUCAAGACUGUCGUCCAGGCAGAAGGGCUCCUGAGUACAUUCUCACCAGUAGGGUGAUGACUAUUUACCCAGCAGCACCCAGGGAUGCCCGAGAAAUACUUGAAGAAAAGAUUGUUCCUGUGUUCUUUUUUAUAAUCCUGAAAAGGUUAUCUCCAUUUUUGGACUGUGGGAAAUGAAACAAAAAAAAUCACUCCCUGAGGAAUAAAAUAAAUUUUUUUUGGAAAAAAAUGUUCUAAUACAGACAGCAGUGCUUCCCCUAACGGGAAGAAAAAAAAAAGCCCUAUUCAUUCAAGUCCCCAUUUUUUAAUUUUCCUGAGAGUAGAAGGCUGCAAAGACCAGCAGAGUUCAAGGCCAUUCUCUCUGGGGCUCAAAUUUCUAUAGCUGGAUGUAGACAGGGUUUCUGGUUCCACAUAAGUAGCUAAUCAAAGAGAAAGACAAUUCUUCAUGUGAAAACCCUUCUGAUCUUACAUCAAGAGAGCCAGGCCCCAGAGACCAGAGCGGAAUGACUGAAGGUUAAGACGUGCCAGGCACUUUGUAUGCUGCACGAGGGAUUUAGGUAAAUCAUGUAGGAAUGGGACAUUAUCAAUUCUGCCUUUAAAAAAACAAAACCAAACAAGGCAGAAGUGGCUCUAUUUGCAUGGUUUUCGCAGAAUGUGACUGUCUGUGGAGCUAAAGGGCCCCACGUGCAUUGUUAUCGGGAAAUAUUUAACGGAUUAGGACCGUAUGCACUGGCAGACAGACCUGAUUCAAGUUUUUCACAUGAUAUGAAUCCUCCUGGGUCAAACUGAACAUGCUGGCGCCAUGCCAGGUUAGAGCAGGAGAUGGAACUGGCCUAAUUCAGGCCUCUCCAUUCAUUUCCAUCCAAGAAAGCAUACGGCCUCUCCUUACAGCUCAUUGUUUCGGGAUUAGCAGAUGUAUUGUCAGCGCAGACAGAAUACCGAUGAGACAGGGCCUCACGUCAUCAGGCGUUUGAUGUGGUUAAACUGCCACCCUAUUUCAAAGCCUGCAGAAGCCACUGUACAUCCCCAGCUUGGCCUGCAAACGGAAUACAAAAGAGUACUUCGCUGGUUGGUGAUGAACUGAUGCCCACCUGCUCCUUCUACGAAUUUUAAAACCAGGGAGGGAAGAUGUAGUGCUCUCCCAAUUCUCUUGUGCCUUAGAGUAAGAAAAGAACACAUUUCCCACCAUUUCCCCAUUCUUGGCUCACACCAACGAUAUUAACUACCUCAGUGAAGCCAGAAGCAUCUGUCCCUGUCAGAGCCUGCAAGCAGAUCCAGCUACCAGGCAGUUGUGAAACACUUCAGCAUCUGUCAGGAUUUAAUUAGGCUAGCUUUUUGGAUGGGGUGUGAUCCCAGCCCCAGCUUGGGAGGAACAUUUUCACAAAGGUGCUGAAAUGGUUGGGAUGGGCUGAGGAUGGCACAGAGUAGCCUGGAUUCUCGUGUCAUCUGACCUGGGGGGGCAGUAGCAGGAAGUGGUUGGCUUUUCUUUAUGGGACUGAUCCUAAAGACAGGACUCAGAUGUAGACCCACUUGAGCGACCUUUACACACAGAUGGGGAAUUAACAGAACUGUGCCCUUUGGCUUCUAUGUGCAAUUCUUUUUUUUUUUUUUAAAGGAAAUAAGGAUGGUUUAUUCUGGAUCCAUUUUGAGUCACCAUGGCCCGAGAACACAGGUUUAGAUCACCCCAGAUUACAUGUUCCAACAUGGAAACAGUUUCCCAAGAUUUUUAUACUUUUAUACAACAAAUAAAAUCAUGAAUCAGGGCAAGUUUAAAAGACAUUGGUGGAUACAUGGGAGAGGUGGCUGUAACAUGAUUAGGGAAGUUAUUCUACAGCUCCAAGAUGCUACCUGUUGACAUUCUGCACUCUUGAAUGGGUGGAAGCUAGUGCUCUGCUAAGUUAAUAGCUUCUAAGGCUUUUUUAUGUAUUAUCAUGAUGUGUUGCUUCUCUAUGUGCAAUUCUUAAUCUCACUGUCUGGACGACUGAGGUGGAGGGAAGGCACAGAGGGACUCAGAAUAUAUUUCUCCCUAAAAACAGUAGCCAGGACCUUGGGAGCUGGUUAGUUUCUAACAUACUUGCCAGGGAGGUAUAAAGACCUAUGUUCAAUCUCCAGAACAUACAUGGAAAGCCAGGCACGGUGGUGUGUGCAUGCAGUCCUACGGCUGGGGAGGCAGGGACAGGCAGACCCUUGGGCUCACUGGCUAGCUAGCCCAGCCUACUUGCUGAGUUCCAGACCAGUGAGAGACCCUGUAUUAAAAAAUAAUGUGGACUGCUCACGAGGAAUGUCAUCCAAGGUGGGCCUUUAGCAUUUGUGUGUGUGUGAAUACAUGUGUACUCACACGCACAUGUGUACCCUCCCCCAUGAACCCCAGUCACCCAGGACUUGACCCCUCAUACAUGCAGGCGUUGGACUGGUGCAUCACACCUGCAAGCUGUUCUCUUGUCCCUCCUCUGUCUGGCUCUCCAACUCAUUAGUCAUCUUCUCUCUGCUUGACAACGUUCCCUUUCUACUCAGUUAUUCUUCCCAGGCUCUGAGCCUUCUUAAUGAAAAGCUCCUUGAAUGUUCGAAAGGGAUUAGAUGCUGCGACUUCGGGGCACAGCAUCAGAGGAUCAGUGGGAACAACACAAAUGGCCAAUAACAAGGGAUUAGUCAGACCCUGCACAGUGACAAUCGGUGGCCAGGUGUGACUGGAAUUGCCAGUCUUCACAGGGUGCCUGAGUCCGAGGAAGUCGGGUUUCCAGGACUAAUGUGAGACACAAAUAACUGAUUUUAAUAGGGCUCUUGGAGGAAAGUAAGAAACUGCCCCCAUUAGCUUGAUCUAAACCUCACUGCCACUGAGAGUGGUAAUGGUGGUGAUGUUGCAAUUGUAGCUGACAUGGGCUUCCUGUAUGUCAGUGCCAUUCUUCAUGCUUAUAUGGGUCGUGUGUCUUUCUUAUUGUAGUAAUCCCAUUACAGAAAUAUCAAUGUUCCUACUUCUCAGAGGGUAAGACUGAGGCAAAGUGUGUGUGUGUGUGUGUGUGUGUGUGUGUGUGUGUGUCUGUCUGUCUGUGUGUGUGUGUCUGUGUGUCUGUGUGUAUGUGUGUGUGUAACUUGCCCAGGAUUGCCAGGAAGUGAUACGAGUCCAGCUGAGUUUACUCCAAACUCUAUCCCUUCAGGUUUCUGACUUCUCUAUCAAGUGUGGGCACGGAGGGUCUAUGUCUACCUUGGCUUCCACUUGUAAGCAAAAUAAUGCUCACCACACAGAGAUUGAUAAGUAAAUUAUCUGCUUUGUGAGCAAAUUCAUGGAUCCCUACAUCAAUGGUCAUAUUGCUUUAGAGAGUUGAGGAUACUCAAGCUGAGAAGGACGAAGUGUCCUUCUUUCUUUAUUCUUCAGGCUUAAGGGUGUGGCUGAGUCUUGAGACCAGAUCAAGGUGAUAUGCUACAGCGAGGGACCCCUGGACAACAGAUUGUCUAUAAUCACCAAGACUCCAAGCAUGUGAGGGAGAACAAGACACCUGGUGGUGAUACCAGGUGGGAAAGAGGCACCUGCAGGCACAAAGCUAUUGGAGGAUAUGGUCAUGUGAGGGCAGCUGACAAAGGUUCCCGAAUCCGUCUUUUUGCAGAUACCCUAUAGAGUUGGACUUUCCUGUCCACUACAGGAUAGGCUGGGGUGUGUGAGCUGUUUGACUUGUAGAAGACCUAAGAAAUAGAGGGGUUACCAUAAUUCAUGGGACCUCUCAGCUGGGAAGUUGCAGAGGUAGGACUUGAAUCCAAGCCUAUCAGUUCUCCAGAUCCCGAAGGCCUUUCCCAAAGCACACAGGGACUUUGCUGGCCAGGGAAACUGCAAGAGGCCUGAGCAGACUAUAAGAGAAGAGCCACAGAGACACACGAGCUGACUGAGAUGGAAGUGUCACGGGAAGCUUUGGGAGAAAGUGGGUCUUAUUUCAACUCAAUUCUUAAGUGAUACUUUUAAGAGGGAAUUUGGGGGAGGGGGCUGUGACAAUACUCAUCAGGCAGAGGCAGCAGCGACUUAGGUGGAAGAGAAAAGGAGGUUCCUGCUUGGACACAGUCGAUAGAGGAUAGGCAAGAGGCAGUGGUACAGGGUCUUAAGCAGCAGGCUGUGGAGUUUAGUCUUAUAACCCAGAGGGCUCUCCAGCAGGGGUGGGCAGGGAUAAAAGCAGUAUUGGUGGACACACACACACACACACACACACACACACACACACACACACACUCACUGGUGGCUGAAUGUGAAAUGAGUUACAGUAGAAAGUGUGGCCAGGCAGGAAGGAAGUGAACCUCAAAGGGGACACAGGGUAUGGAAGUUUUAAGGCAAGGAAGUUACAAUUAUCUGCCUGACCCAAUUGCCACUGGGGUGCAAAAGAUGGGAUCAGUAACCCAUGUACAUCAGCUCAGGGGAUGCAGCCUCAGCCCCAUUUUACAGAACAAAGAACAGAAGCUGGGAAAGGUGAAGCCAAGCGCUCUCAGCCACGCCCACCUGGUAAGCAGCAAGUGGGCCUAUGAAUGCAGUGUGGUCUGGUUGCACAGCCAGUGCUCAGAAGCACCACACAGAGAUCUUAGCAAGAGCUCUGUAGUCCUGGUAGCUGGCCCCAAGCCUGAGACCUCAUCUCGGAAAGGGGGCGCUGCUAUUCCACCACAGGGUGCCAGGCAGCUGGCUUAGGAAACACUGUCUCCAUUUGCAGCUUAUAGAGGCCGGUGUUACCACCCACAUCCCUGGAUUGAAUCCCAGCCGUCUGGAAGAGCAGGAGGAAAGAGAAUCAAUGCUAUCUGGCUCCUCAGAUAGGCACCAUGUGGCUUUGCUUUGAAGGCCUGGGUUACAUUGUAACUUAGCCCACAAAGGGGCCUUGUGAUGCCUGCAUGUGACCCGGACCCAUUUGGAUGGCACCUCUGCCGCCUCCUCAGCUUUGUGGUUGACCAAAAUGUUCAGAAUUAGAUUUUUCAAUAAAUGGCUCAUUCCGCAGUUACCCUGCAGAGAAAAAAAAAGUCAGGUCACAGGCUUCUGAAAUGUCACCUCUGCAUCUUUGCUACCAUUACUGCAGAGGCUCCAAAGCCGAGAGCUGGGUAGAGAGGUUCAGCAUGUCCAGUCCAUCUGUUGCAUGGCUGAAAAUACUUGAAAGAGCCUUUUCUCACACAGCUCAGUUUUAAAGUGUGUGUGCGGCUUCGGCCUGUGGCCCUGGCUCUCACCAGUGCAUUUUUGGAAUUUUUUUUCUCAACAAGUCACGUGCGUGCUCAAUUUAAAGAGUCUAAGGGCUGUGUGAAGCCUGAUGAAAGUUAACAACAUUCUCUGACUCUCUUCUCUUAGAAGCAAACGUUUCCCUCGAUUUUAGUGAGGUGGGUGGGUGGAGGGGUCUUCAGAUAUCUCUAAGUUCUUAGCUGAUGUCACCUUCUUUGAUUUGCCCUUGUUAGGGAUUAUCCACUGUCUCCCUACUGUGGAGGAUGAGGACUUAGCUGUUGCACAUCACCAUGUCCGCCCUCCUGCACAUGCUCCUUAAGCUCCAGGCUAGAUACACUCUCAAUGCCCACUGUUUUUGUUGUCUCCAGCAAGGAGGCAUUGUUCGUGAAUCACAUAGUCGAGUAUGACUUCAAGACUUUUCUUCUGGGUGAACUUUUGGUUUUUCUGCAGUUCAUACAGCCCCCUUGUUUGUUUAGUAGCCUAUAUAUUUCUCAUGAAUCCAGAGAGCAUCCUCUCUGCCAUCAUGUGUCUAUCAAGUGAAGUUCCCUGAAAAAGCCGUACCUACAUUAGACACAAGACAUUAGAUUGACUGUUUAGAAUUUUAAUAAUCAUGGAGACUUGGAAUAUUCUAGGCACAAAGUAUAUUGGGUAUGUUUAGGUCACCUAGAGAGCCAUUAUUACCUACCUCUGUGUGUGACUUAAGAUCCUUGUGACCUCUGGGUAAAUCCAUUUGGAAUGUAUGAACAGACCGCAAGUUUCCAAAAACCCAAAGCUCAGUUGCUAUUGGCCCCACUUUGCUGUCUAACUGCCUAACUGAUGUUCCACCAGUGAGGGGCUGGAGAUUGCUCAGUGUUAAAAGCAUUGGCAGCUUGUCUAGAGCAGUAGUUUUUAACCUGUGGGUUGUGACCCCUCUGGAGUAGAAGGACCCUUUUGAAGGGGUGGCCUAAGAGCAUGGGAAAACAUAGAUAAUUACAUUUAUGAUUUGUAAUAGUAGCAGAAUUACAGUAAUAAACUAGCAACAAAAUAAUUUUAUGGUUGGGGGGGUCAUCACAACACAGGGAACUGUAUUAAAGGGUCUCGGCAUUUAGAAAGGUUAAAAACCACCGUUCUAGAGGACUGUGGUUCAACUCCCAGCACCCACACGGGGGCUCAUGGAAUUCUGUGACUCUAUCUCCAAAGAUCAGAUGCCUUCUUCUGGCCUCCAGAGGUACCAGGCGCGCACACGCAUAUAAAAUACUCAAAUAUGUAAAAAUCUGAGUUAUGAUUACUGCCAGACUGUAAAGUCAUCAUAAAACUGAUACCUUGUUGGCAUUUGCAGGAGCCUGGUCUGUGUUUCUGGGCCAUGGCUACUUAUAAUUGGCUCCAGAAUAAGUUACUGAUUAUUCAUUUUGGUGUGAGAACGUACGUGUGUGUGUGUAUGUGUGUGUGUGUGUGUGUGUGUGUGUGUGUGUGUUAAAUACAGCAUCAAUUGCUUGGCACAGGAACCCACCCCUGGGUAUGGAAUAGUUUUAGUCUGGACCUGGGGUCCACACACCACUGCACGGCAGCCAGCCUGGUCGCCCCUGUCCACUCCACCCAAUUUCAGCCUCCAGUGCCCCAUGCCUAAUAGCUCUCUCGUCAUUAAACCUGCAGUUUCAGUGGUUCUUUGGAAGGCCUCUACCCAUCAUUUCUGAGAAGUUCUUUAUUGUACAGCGUCUAAGACAGAAGUCUUUGCUUGGGGGUUGACUGUCUUAUGCCCAAUGUAGUUAAAAUGUGUGAUACCAUUUUGAGUUUUAUAUCUUCUACAGACCUGUUUUUACUUAUGCUUUUGUUCUUUAAUGCCCUCUCCAGACACGUUUGGAUUUCUUUCUUCCCGCUGGUGCGCUGAAGUUUCAUGAUGAUGUGCUUAGCAUGGUUUAUGGCCACUCACUGAUGAAAUCUCACCACCCCCUUUCUAUCUGAAAAGCACUGUUCUUUUAGUUUGUGGAAAUGGAUUUCAAUUUCUUUCUAGAAUUUCCUGUUAUUUGGAUGUAAAUCUACUAACCAGGCCCUUGGUUUCUCUUAUGUUUCUGUCUUAUUUUCUAUUCCUAUGAGAUCUUGUACUUUCUGGGACAUAAUUUCAAAUUGGUCCCCAGAACUUUUACUAUGUUAAAAUCUCUCUGGGUUAAAAAGGAAGAGAGCAUUGUACUUUUAUUGCAACUUUGCAAUUAUCUCUCAGAGUUUCAGUUCUGGUCUGUAUCUUUCAAGAUGCUAUUCUGUGUGUGUGUGUGUGUGUGUGUGUGUGUGUGUGUGUGUGUGUGUGUGUGUGUGUGUAUCCCACUCAUGUGUGUGGAGUGUAUAUGCAGGUUUUUCAUACAAAUGCCUGCUGAUCCAUUUAUCUAUCUGUCUGUUUAUCUAUCUAUCUAUCUAUCUAUCUAUCUAUCUAUCUAUCUAUCUAUCUAUCUAUCUGCCUGACCCUCUCCUCCCAGUAUCCGCUUCCUCCCAUCCACUCUUCCUCUUUCUCUUCAGAAAAGGGCAGGCCUCCCAUGGUUAGUAAACAGCCCUGGCAUAUCAAGUUGCAGUAAGACCAGGCACCUUCUCUCCUAUUAAGGUUAGAGGAGACAACGCAGUAGGAGGAAAGGGUCCCAAAGGCAGGCAACAGUUGAGCCAUGGACAGGCCCUGGUCACUCUGUUAGGAGUCCUACAUGAAAACCAAGCUGUGCAAUUGUAACAUAUGUGUAGAGGACCUACGUUAGUCACAUGUGGGCUUCUUGGUUGGCAGUUCAGUCUCUGUGAGCCCCUAUGAACCCAGGUUAGUGGAUUCUGUGUGUGUUUUUUAUGGUGUUCUUCACCCCUCUGGCUCCUACAAUCCUUCCUCCCACCUCUCCUAUGGGAUUCCUUAAACUCUAAUGUUUGGCUGUGGGUCUAUGUAUUUUGUUUCUAUCCGUUGCUAAGAGAAAGACUCUCUGAUGAAAAUUGGGCUCAGCGCCUUCGAUCUAUGAGCACACUAUACCCUCUUAAGCAAUGAGCUCUUUUUCAAGGCCAUGGGCCUAUGGGCUUUAAGUGUGGGGCCCUAAAAUGUUUGUAUUAACUGUGGGUUUCCCAAGCAGGUGUCUCAGCUGGAGAGAACUGAUCCACUAAACUGGUGAAUUUCCUCACUGGUCCUUUCCUAAACUAUGUUCUAGAAACUAAUUUAAGAGAAAACAGUAGUUAGAAGUUUAUUUUGUUAACUUGCAUCAAGUCCCUGGUUCCAGAGAGCAUUCUCUUCCCUCAGCCAUGCUACAUGUCUGGUAUUCUGUAUACAUGUCCUCUCCCUUCAUGAGAGAGCGAGCUCUGGCUUCCACCUGGUGCAGGGUGGGAAGCAGCAAGCACAAAGGCUGGUUCAGGAAAUUUCAAGCAGUCUUUCUGCUUUUUGGACCUCUGUUUCCAGAGUUAUCCCAGGCUGUAAUUCCUAGGCCUUCUGGUAGCUUCUUGGUUCCCAUAAAUGCCAGCUUAGGAUACUGUUUCCUGAGUCGAAAGUCUUUUUAGACUGCCUGUCUUUUUAUUUUCUAGCUUACACAUUUUUGUUGCUAUUUUUUCCUUCUAGCAGAUUGACCCUUUAAAAAGCCAUUCUGUUGAACGUCUAGGAGGAAAUGGAAUGCGUGUGCUCCAGCUGUCAUCUUAAAUGAGUAGUCUUAGAAUCACAGCCGUCCUGUCGUCCAUCCUACCUACCUCCCUUAGUUGUCUGGGGCUCCUGGCUCUGCAGCAGUGCCAUGACGUGGAUUCUGCUCAUCUUGUGUGGUGGCUGCCAGAUUCUACCAAGUAUGACAUGCUUUCUAUCAAGAAAAGGACGCAGGGCCAUGGACAGAAACAGGGUUAAUUCAGCUGAGUCCUGCUCGGUGUGAUACUUGGUCUCGUUUGUAGCCUCAGGAUAAUACACUGCAUCCCUAUACACUUUCAGGGUUCUUAGCAGGAUCAAACAGGAUAAUGGCUGUGAAAGCCCUUCAGAAAGCACAAAGUCGAACAGAAACAAGGCUUUGCUACUACUUAAAACCUCACUUUUAUCGCCUGGAAUUCAACCUGAAGUCAUUUGGGCCGGUCUUCAGGAAAGAGGCCUAUCUCCAGGAAUCAUACAAAUCAUCCUGUGGCGUUUAAAGAAAUGUCCUUCAGUCGCAGACGAGUGACAUGGUGGUGCUUUUCACUCCACUGACGGCAUUUGCUGAAGCCAGACAGGUUCCAUGGCACAUCAAAUAAACAUACCCAGAAUCCAAGAAAGGAUUUUCCUCAUGGAGCCCCCUCUACAGUGAGUCUGUUUCUCAGCUGCCUCGGCGAAGUCAACAACAUUGGAGAAAGCGAGUAAACCUAUCUAAACAGUGGACAUAUUCCAGCAUCAGAAAAGUAUGCAGUGAAGGUAACUUCACAGAAAAGAUGCCCAACGCUAACUAAGCAAUAAGCACAAGCGUCAGAAGCAUCCACAUGAUCUCACUCCUACAAGACCAUCAAGCCCUGUGCACAUGUAGACAAAAGAACACAAAUCAAGAUGUUCACCAAACACAAGAGUCGAAAAGGAGGCUGUCCUUUGUGCUUGGAUGCCACAGAGUUCAAUUGCACACAGCCAGCUUCCUGCUCCUGCCACACAAUAACUUCCCUGCAUGCUGUUGUGUCUUUCCAAGAUGAUAGGCUGUAUCUUUCCAACGGUAAGACAAAAUAACUCCAUUCUCCUUUUAGAUGCUUUAGUUAGGAGAGUUUAUCAUAACAGAAAGAAAGAAGCUAAGACAGUUUUGAAUGUUUCAAAGCGAAUGAUUGCUUGAGAACCAAGCAGAUAUCCACACUUUUGCUUUGAGUUUGAGGAUAUUUACCAUCAUUGAUUAACCUGUUUUUGUUUGUUUUGUUUGUAAAAGGAUCUGCUAUUUGUCUCUCCACUCGGGGCAGCCUGUGAAGAGUGUAUCUUGAGUUUGUUCACUACUGUUGUGUCCUAUGCUAGAUCUCUUAACCUCUCUGUGUCUCACUCACUGUAGAUACCUCACUAUCUAUAUCCCCAUUGAUGUUCCUCAACUGCUCAGUAUGGUUCCUGGGACACUUAAGUUCUGAAAAACUGGAAGCCAUUAUUAUUAUUUUUUUUGGAAGCCAUUGUUAAUGAAUGAUGCCUCCAUCUCUUGAAUUCCAACUCAACCUGAUCAAGCCUGUUUUCUUUUCUUUUUUUAUAAAUUGGAUGAUUUUUAUUUACAUUUCAAAUGUUUCCCAGUUUCCUCUCCAUAAACCCCUUAUCUCGUCCCCGCUUCCCCUGUUCCCCCACCCACCCUCCACUUCCCGCAUCCCUGCCCUGAUAUUCCCCUACACUGGGGCAUUGAGCUUUGGCAGGACCAAAGGCUUCUUUUCCCAUUGAUGCCCAACAAGGCCAUCCUCUGCUACAUAUGGAGCCAUGGGGCUGUCCAUGUGUACUCACUCUUUGGAUGAUGGUUUAGUCCCUGGGAGCUCUGGUUGACUGGUAUUGUUGUUCUUAUGGAGCUGUAAACCCCUUCAGCUCCUUCAAUCCUUUCUCUAACUCCUCUAUUGGGGACCUUGUUCUCAGUUCAACUGUUGGCUGUGAGCAUCUGCCUCUGUAUUUGUCAUGCUCUGGCUGAGCCUCUCAGGAGGCAGCUACAUCAGGCUCCUGUCAACAUGUACUUCUUGGCAUCAGCAAUAUCCUCUGGGUUUGGUGGCUGUAUGUAUAUGUGCUAAAUCCCCAGGUGGGGCAGGCUCUGAAUGACCACUCCUUCAGUCUCUGCUCCAAACUUUGUCUCCAUAUUUCCUCCUAUGAAUAUUUUUGUUCUCCCUUUUAAGAAGGACUGAAGCAUCUGCACUUUGGUUAUCCUUCUUCUUGAGCUUCAGGUGGUCUGUGGAUUGUACCUUGGGUAAUACAAGCUUUAGGGCUAAUAUCCACUUAUCAGUGAGUGCAUACCAUGUGGUUUUGUGUGUGUGUGUGUGUGUGUGUGUGUGUGUGUGUGUGUGUG